UACGAAGGGGGCUAGCGUUGCUCGGAAUCACUGGGCGUAAAGGGCGCGUAGGCGGCUUUAUAAGUCGGGGGUGAAAGCCUGUGGCUCAACCACAGAAUUGCCUUCGAUACUGUAGAGCUUGAGACCGGAAGAGGUAAGUGGAACUGCGAGUGUAGAGGUGAAAUUCGUAGAUAUUCGCAAGAACACCAGUGGCGAAGGCGGCUCACUGGCCCGAUACUGACGCUGAGGUGCGAAAGCGUGGGGAGCAAACAGG
rnacentral:rRNA from 1 species